AUAAAUUAAACCUCCAUAAGGGCAGGGAUAUUUGCCUGUUUUGUUCAACCCUGAAUGUCUGAUACUUAGACAAGGGCUUGGAACAUAGGAGAUGCUCCUCCUGCUUGGGGCUGCUUCCUGUGAAGGGUGUGGCUGCACAGCUGCAAACCAUCCCAUCCCUGCCUCACCCGCACAGGUGGUCGCUGCCACCUAGGACAGCCUGGACUUUGCCAUCUCCUUCUUGCGGAGUAUGAACAAGCAGGCCUCCAGCCCGAUGCAUCAGAUCCUUCCUACCAUGGCUCUCCAUCUUCCACCAUUCUUCAUGGGACUAUCUUCUAAGCUUCCUCAGAGUAUGUUUUGUCCUCAUGCUAGAAGCGGCCCCACUUAGGUCUACCCACUGUUGGAGUUUCCUCGAUCGCUCAUCUUGGAAAGUACAUCCCCAUCCAAUACUGGGUGGAGACCACAUUGGAGACCUUAUGGCCCUGCUCCUGCUAACAACCCAGCACUCUGCUUCCCACUAGGUGACAACGCUGCUGCUGCUGCUGCCACUGUUGCUGCCCACUUUAUAGACAGGUGCAGCUUAGUUUCCAUACCGUUGUUGAGUUGUAAAUGCCCUCUGUGUAAAGGUCAUCCACAGUUGUGAGGUAUAUCAACAUCAUUUGGAGACAGGAUGGCGUUACGGUUAAUGGUGUGAGCUCUGGAAUCAACUGACUGGAGGUUAAGUCUGGCAACUUCUACUUCUUGUAUAACCUUGGGCAAGUAAUUUAAUUUUUCUACAACUCAGUUUUCUUAUUUGUAAAAUUGGGAAAAUACCAGAACCUUUCUUGGAGGGUAAAAGUGAACAUUAAAUGUGAAAAGUUGCUCACAGCCUGGUAACUAUUACAAAUGCUCAAUAAAUCUUUUAUAUAUAUGACAGGAGAAAAACAAAUGAUUAUUUUCAGUGGAUGGCAAGUCAAAUAAAAGUAAAGAGAAAGCCAGAUAUCAGAAGAAAACAGGUUCCAAGGGAGAGAUUAGGGAUGGGGUUGGACUAGAGGAAAUGUAGGCAAAGGCAGGAUAAAUAAUGUUGGAACAGGUUUGUAGGGAGGGAGAAGCAGAAAUUGGAGAUAAAGAAAGAGUAAAAGGAAGAAGGUAUAUUCUAAGCUUUUAAGGAAAGAGAAUUUUAGGGAAAGACUUUGCCAACCGGUUCUCAUCACCCCCACAAUAGUGUGUGCUCGCUCCCUCUGACUACAAGAACCUACAGUCUUUCUUUUAUUUUAUAAUUUUAUAAAUUCUUACCACUAGACUGUAAUCUCUGAACAGUAACAACUCCUCCAGUUUUACUCACUCAUGUAUCCCAGCGUCUAGCUUAAUCUUUUGGACCAGAUAUCUGACUGCAUAGGAAGCAGCCCAGGUCUCUUCCUGUCUUUUCAGAAAGCAUGGGCUUCAAAUUCAUUUGAUUUUAAAAUAAUGAUUGAAGAUAUACAAGUGGUUAGUCCCCUUCCUGCCUGCUCUUGCUAUGAACACAACAACAAAGAUAAAUCAAUAAAAGUUGUGUUUAUUCUCCUUAACUUCAGUUCAUUUUGAGAUUUAGCCUCCUGUUUUGUAUUCACUCAACAGUGUGCUUUGCUCAGUAAGAGAAAACAGUUGUGGAUGAUCAGGACCCUGAUCUAUUUUACAAGUUUCAGUUGCUUUUUAUACUCAUAGGUGGUCUAGGUCUCAUCAGGGAGCCUCUCAGGGCAGACAAAUGGCAGGUGGGUGGAGAGGCCCAGCUUUCUGUUCCACCCCAGCUCAGCUUCUGAGCUCUGCCCCUAGGUUCCAGCACAAUUCUGACCAUAGGUGAGAGAGACUGCAUGCCAGUGCCCAUGUCCCAGGUCCUCUGUGCUGCUUAGAAUGUGGUUCCAGGUUUCAUUCUCCAGCCCUUUCCCCACAGAGGUUACAAUCUUCAAACUGGGCUUUGACCACUUAUCUCUGAGUCCUUGCUCUAACUCUCCCUUCUCUCUUAAGACCACACGUUGCUUUGGUCCUAACAAUAGUAACAACAGUAAUAAUAGCUAACAUUGAGUGUUAGCGGUGUGCCAGAUAUGGUGGGAAGCAUUUUAUUUGCAUAGCCUCAUUCGACCUUCACAAUCAUCCUGUGAAGUAUCAGAACUAUUUAUUUCAUUUCACAGAUGAGGACGCUAAAAGAGGUUAUGUAACUUACUCAAGGCCACAUAGCCUGGAAAUGUCAAAGCUAGCCCUCAAUCCAGAUAAUUGGUCUUUCUGCUUCUUUAUUAUGUCUCUCUAAUCUGUUCCUCUUACAGAAUAAUUCUUUAAAAGACAAAAAUCUGAAUUGGUCAGCCUCCUGCUUGAAACACUACAUUGUUAUCUCUCCGCUUUUAGAAUAAAAUCACUUUGUAUUGGGAGGCCCUGGAGGGUCUGGCCUCUACUUCUAUCCCCAGUUUCAUCUCAUAUCCUUUCUUCUUCCCUCACUAAAUUCCAGCCUCGCUCAGUUCCUGGAGUAAAUGGACUCCUUUCCAGCCUUAACAUAUAUGAGUAUGCCAUUUCCCCUCCGGAAGGCUCUUAUCUCAGCUCUUUGCAUAUCUGGCUCCAUUUUUCCUUCAGUUCUGAGCUUAAAUGCCACUUCCCUAAGAAUUUUUCUAAAUUGAGUCCUCUUCUUAUUCUGUGUCAUAGCACCCUGUUUAUUUUCAUCAUAGCAGAUAACAUUUUGAAAUUACUUGUUUACUGGCUGAUAAUCUGUAUUUUUUUCUUUCUGUUAGAAUGAGUUUUUGAUGAGGGCCUGAAGGCAGAGACUUCAUCUCACUUAUCAUUGAACACUUAGUCCUUUGCAUAUGUAGGUGCUCAGUACAUAUUUGUUGGGUGUGUGAAAGAAUGAUCUCUCUAACUCAGGGGUAGAUUUGCCAUGAAGCUAACAAACUUAAGCUUAAGAGUCUAUUACUUGCUAAUGGCCCUAGCAUUGUGUCCACAUGGUCACAUAUUUUUGAAAAAUUGUCAAAACUGACAUAUUUAAAUUGCAAUUGGUUAAAAUCAUUGGGGGUUUUAUGUACUUCUCAGACACUUCCAUGUAUAGUUAAGUUGCUACUGGCUAUUCUCAAGCAAGACUGAUUUUCAGGAAUACUUCCACUGUUCAUUGCAUGACCUCACUUGCUGUUGUGACACAAAGAUGCAGGGACAUGGCAUCAGAAGUAUGUGGAUUAUAUGUGGAUUGUGGAGGAGAAACAAGGUUUGAAAUGUUUGGCACCAGGUGCUAGUUUACAGAAAAUUCUUCCAAAUCUUAUAGCUCAUUUAUGAAACUUCAACAGUUUUUCCAACUUUAAUAACAAUUCUGAAAAUGUAUUUGGCAUUGGUAAUAAUGAAUAACAAAUCUGAAAGAAACUUCUCUAAAUUAUUGGGUUGGUGCAAAAGCAAUUCCGGUUUUUGCUAUUACUUCUGCACCAACUCAAUAUCGUUAGUUAAAAAAAAAUGAAAACAAAAAUUUCCUAUAAUUGUGGAUUUAUGACACUAGAUGAACCUUAAUAUACACAAAUUUUUAAAAAUUUAGGAAGUCAGGAGAUCCUAGGAUGGAAUGCAGAGUGUGAUAUAAAAAUCUAACUGAAUUAAAAAUUUAUGAAACAAGCUUACUGAAGUGGAUGGGGGAGAAGGAGAAGAGCCUUUGGAAAUGAGUGGAAUCUGUAAGACUCAAGGCAACAGACACUGCAUAAGCACUAUACCCUAUCUGAUAAAGUUGUGUCCCACAGGCAUAAGGGUUAAUAAUUCCAAAAUCACUAUCCAGGUGUCUUAGUUAUUUUGUGCUGCUAUAACGAAACACCUAAGACUGGGGAAUUUAUGAAGAACUGAAAGUUCUGGAGUCUGGGAAGUCCAAGGUCAAGGUGCCAGCAAAUUCAGUUUCUGAUGAGGGGCCCAGUCUCUCCUUCCAAGAUGGCACCUUGUUGCUGUAUCCUCCAGAGGGAGUGAACACUGUGUCCUCACAUGGCAGAAGAGUGUAAGAGCAAACAAGGUCCUAAGCUAAUUCUCUCCAGUAGAGCCCUCAUGACUUAAUUACUUCCCCAAAGGUCCCAACUCUUUUUUUUUUUCUUUUUUGAGAUGGAAUUUUGCUCUUUUUGCCCAGGCUGGAGUGGAAUGGUGCAAUCUCGGCUCACUGCAACCUCCACCUCCCGGGUUCUAGUGAUUCUUCUGCCUCAGCCUCCCGUGUAGCUGGGAUUACAGGUGCGCACCACCACACCUGGCUAAUGUUGUAUUUUUAGUAGAAAUGGGGUUCCACCAUGUUGGCUAGGCUGGUCUUGAACUGCUGACCUCAGGUGAUCCACCCAUGUCAGCCUCCCCAAGUGUUGGGAUUACAGGCACAAGCCAUCGUGCCUGGCCCGGUCCCAUCUCUUAAUGCCAUCAAAAUGGGGAUUAAUUUUUGACAUGAAUUUUGGAGGACAUAUUCAAACUAUAGUAGCAUGUAUACUGAAAUUAAAUAAUUAAGUAAAUAGAUGGUGGAUGGUGAGAGCCAGGUUUCUCACUAUUGGAGUAGGAGGUUACAGAAAAGCAAAAGAAAGAAGCUAGAAUGAGCCAUAAGAUAAUGGACUGGAGUUAGAGACAUCAGUAUGAACUGAUGUUUAGCUUCAUAUAGAUAUGGAUAGUUACAUAUGGAAAUAUUUACUGAUAUGUAUGUAUACACAAGUUAGUAUAUACACCUAUUUUUCCUUGUUUUGUCAGUGGCAAGGGCCCACAAGCAAUAACACUGUAGUAGUAAUGAGCACACCUAAUACUUACAACUUCGUUUUUAAUAUCAUUCUCCAAUAAAAGGAAACAGAGCACUUUGGAGAAAUAAUUGAUUCUGAACUGGGAGAGGAAACAUACAAGAUGAAUCUGGAGCAUCCUAUAGUGUCAGAAAGUAAGAAAGGAUUUAAAAAAAAGUACAGGGGUAUGUUAAAGGGGCACAAGAGCCAACUGAAAGAGCUCCCAAUGGUUAAAGCAGGAAUAAUUUGAGCAAAAAAUAAAUAAUAUUUAAUUACAACCCAACAUAUAACAUAAAUAUCCACAAGUCCAUAGUGAUAUACAUAACUGUUUGAAUACAUAGGUAAGUGGGUGAGAAGAGACAAAUUUCUCAUGCUGAAGCAUUCCAACUAAUUUAUGUAGAAUUUCUUUCUCAAGGAGGUGGACUAUAACUCACCACUCCUUGAGUAUAGGUUGUGCAGAAUGACUUCCUUUGAAGGAAUACAGCAUGCAAAGGAGUACAGCAGGGGAAACGUGCAGACUGUUCAGCAGAGAAACCUAAGAAGCACCACCUCAGCCAGGAGACCAAGGUCAACAUCGAUAUUAAUAAUAAGUCAUGUUGGCAACAUAGACCCUUGAUAUGAUGUGAUGAAAAUGGUAUUUUACUUCUGUGUUUUCUUCCUCCCCAAGAGUGUAACUUCAGUCUAAUCAGAAAAACAUCAGACAAACACUGAUUGAAAGACUUUCUACAGAAUACCUGACCAAUAUUCCUCAAAACUGGUCCUCAAAAACAAGGAAAGUCUGAGAAACUACCACAGCCAAGAGGGGACUAAGAAGACACUACAACUGAGUGUAAUGUGGUAUCUUUUAUGAAUCCUGGAGUGGCAAAAAAAAAAAGAUAUUUGUUUACAACUAAGAAAAUCUACCUAAAGUAUGAACUUUCCUUAAUAAUAAAAUAUCAAUAUUGCUUUAUUAAUUAUAAUCAAUGUAUCAUACUAAUGUGAGAAUCUACAGGAAACACUAGGUAUGGGGUGUAUGAGACCUGUUUAUACUAACUUUACAAAUUUUUUUUGGUAAAUCUAAAGUUAUUCUAAAAAAUAAAGUUUAUUUAAAAACUUUCAAUAAGAUUUGUUAGAGAAAAGACAAUUUAUCUUUAUACUCUCUGUACAGAAAAUGAUAUUCCAAAACCAGUGAUAUAUGAAAAGGUGGUCAAAGAAUAUGUGGUGAAUAUAUACAAGAAAAAAAAAUACUUUAGAGGUGAGUCAUGCAGUUGUGUUCUCGAGGCCAUAAAUUAAGUUGAGUAAUUAAGUUGUGUUGUUACACUAUUUUUCUGUAUUUUGUAGAAUUUGUGAACCACUAGCUUUGCCACAUAUGUAAUUUUUUGUGACUUCUCAUUCUAAAUGAAUAUCACUUUUGGAUCAGAUUUGGUAUACGUAAUUUGGUACUGUUUUCCUUACAUUGGAUUCCCCCAAAUUGUAUAAGCUUCAAGCCCCACAAAACCCCCUCCAACUCCAGAGCUGACCUCAAUGCUAGGUCAAUGGCCAUACCUUGAGCCCCAGACCAGAUGCUUGGGGACCUUAUGAAACCCCUCAUUUGCCAACUGCAAUAUGCUUUAUUUUAUUUUUUUAACCAAUAGUAUUUCUCCCCAAUCUUGGUAGGAGUGUGUGUCUGUGUUUGUGUGGGUGUCUGUGUAUGUGUGUGUAUACAUAUACACAUAUAGCACUUCUAGCAUCCUUGUUGAAAAAGAAAUGUCCACUUCCAUUUUCUGCACUUCUCAUGAGGAUAAAAAAUCAAAUUGCACUGGGAGGAUAGUGGAAAUAUUAUUUAAGGUGUAAACUGGGAAAUUGUUCUAGUUUUGGUUUUUUAUUUCAGAUGGAAGCAUUUGUUGCAGACUCUGAACUUAGAACAGUGGUCAAACAGAUGUUUUCAUUUUAGGAAGGCAGGAUGGGUAUCCAAUUACCAAACAUCCUGUUAAAGUUCGUGUGUGUGUGUGUGUGUGUGUGUGUGUGAGUGUGUGUGUGUGUGUGUGUGUGUGUGAAAUAAUUGCUACCUUUGAGAUUCUCAAGAUAUUACUGGUGCCAAAAGAUCAACAAAAAUUAGAUGAUUA
rnacentral:lncRNA from 10 species